AUUGAACGCUGGCGGCAUGCCUUAACAUGCAAGUCGAACGGUAACAGGUCUUCGGAUGCUGACGAGUGGCGAACGGGUGAGUAAUACAUCGGAACGUGCCCGAUCGUGGGGGAUAACUGCUCGAAAGAGCAGCUAAUACCGCAUACGAUCUACGGAUGAAAGCGGGGGAUCGCAAGACCUCGCGCGGACGGAGCGGCCGAUGGCAGAUUAGGUAGUUGGUGGGAUAAAAGCUUACCAAGCCGACGAUCUGUAGCUGGUCUGAGAGGACGACCAGCCACACUGGGACUGAGACACGGCCCAGACUCCUACGGGAGGCAGCAGUGGGGAAUUUUGGACAAUGGGCGAAAGCCUGAUCCAGCCAUGCCGCGUGCAGGAUGAAGGCCUUCGGGUUGUAAACUGCUUUUGUACGGAACGAAAAGACUCCUUCUAAUAAAGGGGGUCCAUGACGAUACCGUAAGAAUAAGCACCGGCUAACUACGUG
rnacentral:rRNA from 1 species